ACGCUAGCUACAGGCUUAACACAUGCAAGUCGAGGGGCAGCAGGAUCUAGCAAUAGAUUGCUGGCGACCGGCGCACGGGUGAGUAACACGUAUCCAACCUGCCGAUAACUCGGGGAUAGCCUUUCGAAAGAAAGAUUAAUACCCGAUGGUAUAAUCAGACCGCAUGGUUUGAUUAUUAAAGAAUUUCGGUUAUCGAUGGGGAUGCGUUCCAUUAGGCAGUUGGUGAGGUAACGGCUCACCAAACCUUCGAUGGAUAGGGGUUCUGAGAGGAAGGUCCCCCACAUUGGAACUGAGACACGGUCCAAACUCCUACGGGAGGCAGCAGUGAGGAAUAUUGGUCAAUGGGCGCAGGCCUGAACCAGCCAAGUAGCGUGAAGGAUGACUGCCCUAUGGGUUGUAAACUUCUUUUAUAUGGGAAUAAAGUUUUCCACGUGUGGAAUUUUGUAUGUACCAUAUGAAUAAGGAUCGGCUAACUCCGUGCCAGCAGCCGCGGUAAUACGGAGGAUCCGAGCGUUAUCCGGAUUUAUUGGGUUUAAAGGGAGCGUAGGUGGACAGUUAAGUCAGUUGUGAAAGUUUGCGGCUCAACCGUAAAAUUGCAGUUGAUACUGGCUGUCUUGAGUACAGUAGAGGUGGGCGGAAUUCGUGGUGUAGCGGUGAAAUGCUUAGAUAUCACGAAGAACUCCGAUUGCGAAGGCAGCUCACUGGACUGCAACUGACACUGAUGCUCGAAAGUGUGGGUAUCAAACAGGAUUAGAUACCCUGGUAGUCCACACAGUAAACGAUGAAUACUCGCUGUUUGCGAUAUACAGUAAGCGGCCAAGCGAAAGCAUUAAGUAUUCCACCUGGGGAGUACGCCGGCAACGGUGAAACUCAAAGGAAUUGACGGGGGCCCGCACAAGCGGAGGAACAUGUGGUUUAAUUCGAUGAUACGCGAGGAACCUUACCCGGGCUUAAAUUGCAUUUGAAUAAUCUGGAAACAGGUUAGCCGCAAGGCAAAUGUGAAGGUGCUGCAUGGUUGUCGUCAGCUCGUGCCGUGAGGUGUCGGCUUAAGUGCCAUAACGAGCGCAACCCUUAUCUUUAGUUACUAACAGGUCAUGCUGAGGACUCUAGAGAGACUGCCGUCGUAAGAUGUGAGGAAGGUGGGGAUGACGUCAAAUCAGCACGGCCCUUACGUCCGGGGCUACACACGUGUUACAAUGGGGGGUACAGAAGGCAGCUACCUGGUGACAGGAUGCUAAUCCCAAAAGCCUCUCUCAGUUCGGAUCGAAGUCUGCAACCCGACUUCGUGAAGCUGGAUUCGCUAGUAAUCGCGCAUCAGCCAUGGCGCGGUGAAUACGUUCCCGGGCCUUGUACACACCGCCCGUCAAGCCAUGAAAGCCGGGGGUACCUGAAGUACGUAACCGCAAGGAGCGUCCUAGGGUAAAACUG
rnacentral:rRNA from 1 species